CACUCAAAUCAUACUGAAGACACCGGUUCUCGUUCGACUGCUGAAGUUAAGAAAUGUCGAGCCCGAUCAGUGCUUAAAUGAGUGACCGCUUGAGAACACCGAGUACUGCA